rnacentral:misc_RNA from 1 species
UUUCCGUAGGUGAACCUGCGGAAGGAUCAUUAACACGUUAUUCUGCGUGCAAUUGUUUAUCUGUUGUGAGGUGUAUUGUGUGUGUGACGUAAAAAAUUACACCACGAUCACUUCAUAUGUUCUUAUGUCAAAAUUUUUUAUCUGUUUAAACAAAACAUAAAAAACUAAGAAAAUUUUCAACGAUGGAUAUCUUGGUUCCC